rnacentral:lncRNA from 1 species
CCACUUACAGAUUUAACACAAGCUCUCCAAAUGGGCCUUUUUUUAGUUCAAGGAAUAUAAUUUUUUUUCUUCUUUUCCGGAUCAUUACUGUAUGUAUGUACACAGUAUAUUAUAGGAAAUAUCUGAUAAAAAUCCAAGAGUAUUUUUUUUUUUUUUUGAUAAUACACAUGCAUGGUUCAUAAGUCAUAACAAACAAUUAUACUUUCUAUAAAUGAAUUUACGAAAAAUAGCUUUAUAUGUACAAUAUCUCCUGAUAUAUGUAUAUAGUGACAUAUUCUUCAACAAUAUAUACUUUUGUGUGGCUGCGCAAUUAAAUUUUUUUUUUUUAAAUUUAAAUAUGAGCAAAUCAAUAAUGUUGCAUAAUAAUACAGUAUUAUACAAGAAUCUACCAGAAAAUGAUUAGUCGGCGAAUUUUGAAAUAGUAUAAUUAUUAAUUAGAUGUUUUCUUUUAGUAAUAGAAAGCCAAACAAAAAUCCAAC